GACGAACGCUGGCGGCGUGCCUAAUACAUGCAAGUCGAACGCAGUGGGGACGGGUGAGUAACACGUGGGUAACCUCCCAUCAGAGGGGAUAACACUUGGAAACAGGUGCUAAACCGAUACUGAUGGAUGGACCCGCGGUGCAUUAGCGAGUUGGGGGGGUAACGGCUCACCAAGGCCACGAUGCAUCGCCGACCUGAGAGGAUGAUCGGCCACACGGGGACUGAGACACGGCCCAGACUCCUACGGGAGGCAGCAGUAGGGAAUAGUCGGCAAUGGACGAAAGUCUGACGGAGCAACGCCGCGUGAGUGAAGAAGGUUUUCGGAUCGUAAAACACUGUUGUUAGAGAAGCGGUAUCUAAACAGAAAGCCACGGCUAACUACGUGCCAGCCGCCGCGGUAAUUC
rnacentral:rRNA from 1 species